UACGGAGGGAGCUAGCGUUGUUCGGAAUUACUGGGCGUAAAGCGCACGUAGGCGGCUUUGUAAGUUAGAGGUGAAAGCCUGGGGCUCAACUCCAGAACUGCCUUUAAAACUGCAUCGCUUGAAUCCAGGAGAGGUGAGUGGAAUUCCGAGUGUAGAGGUGAAAUUCGUAGAUAUUCGGAAGAACACCAGUGGCGAAGGCGGCUCACUGGCUCGUAACUGACGCUCAUGCACGACAGCGUGGGGAUCAAACAGG
rnacentral:rRNA from 1 species